rnacentral:rRNA from 1 species
CGUCGCCACGGUAAUACGGAGGAUCCAAGCGUUAUCCGGAAUCAUUGGGUUUAAAGGGUCCGUAGGCGGUCUUGUAAGUCAGUGGUGAAAGCCCAUCGCUCAACGGUGGAACGGCCAUUGAUACUGCAGGACUUGAAUUAUUGGGAAGUAACUAGAAUAUGUAGUGUAGCGGUGAAAUGCUUAGAGAUUACAUGGAAUACCAAUUGCGAAGGCAGGUUACUACCAAUUGAUUGACGCUGAUGGACGAAAGCGUGGGUAGCGAACAGGAUUAGAUACCCCAGUAGUCCCUGUCUCUUAUACA